CAUCGUCAUGUCCAAUGUGGUCCAAUAGAUUUCGAUAGACUACAAUAGCGUGUUUCGGACACCUAUUGUAGUUCAUUCCCCUUACUGACAACCUAAGAUAAUAAAAAGAAGUGAAAAAUAUUAUUUACUGUUAAUUAUAAUAAUAAAUAUAAUUAACUAAAUGGUGAAUGGUAUAGUGUUAACUUGGUUGUAAACGGGAACACGAAUGGGCGCUCAUUUAUCGGGGCGAGCGACGGC
rnacentral:lncRNA from 1 species